AAAUGUCUUAUGCCUGACCAGUAUUCAACUGCUUCUCAGGCUGCUGGCAUGGACCUGAUUUUGAUUCCUGCAUCUUCCUUUUCUGCUGUGGCAAGGAAACCCUCAGAAAAGACUUAGGGGAAGUGUUUCCAAAAAGAGUUAUCUAGGUUGUAUGUGGGGAAGCAAACACCUCUGAUUAUGAAGAACAUGGCCCUGCAAAUUCAUUGGACUGAGAAAACACAGCUGUGCAGACACCAGUUCCUCAGGCUGCACUGGAGAUUAUCAAGAAAUGUAUUCUAACAUCAAACAGCCAUGUCAACCGCUCAUUGUGGAAUACAAAGUUUUGAGCAAUUGUUACAGAUAGAAACUGAUGGUUGGAGACUAGUUCUCCCCAGAUCAACAGUGCGUGUUGACUGAGAUAUGCUGGUCCUUUUCUGAAUGAUAAGAAAAAAAUAACACGUGCUCCUAAACUUUUAGAUGCAAUUUAUUAGAGAGCACUAAGAAAUGGAGGAAUUAUUACUUCCUCUUGUGUCUUAUACAAAAAAGAACAGAAGCCUACAAACCGAUCAUAAAUAGUUCUAAACAGAAAAGAAGACUGUUUAUUCUUGAUGUGGCCUAAUUUAAGAAGUUUCAUCAAAAUUCCUUCAUUCAUCUCUACUGGCUCUUCAAAGCAAAUCCUAAUUGGAAUGUACGUGACAUUCAUCACACAGUGAUGCAGAUGCAGUAUCUGGGUCUCUGGAACAUGUGACUCCUGUGAACAUGGUACGGAUGUUCCCAGACCUGGAAUUGCGUGACUCCAAAACAACCCAUGCAGCACUGUGGAAAGCACAAUGACUACCCCUUCUCCAACCACAGAGGAAGGGCAUCUGCAAAAACAAACAAACAAACAAAAAACCGAAAAAGGGAAUUCGGCUUUUCCUUCAUAUUUCUUUUCCUUCGUAUUUCACAUAUUUCUUCCUUGCAAAUCUCUCCCAGUCACCAAGACAGUAAUGACCUAUUUCCUAUUCCCAUCAGCAAAUCAAGAAAUAUUAUUCAGAGAACAAUUGAGAUUUGGCUUCUCAGGUAACGGGAAUAUUCUUCAUUUGUCAAGAGCUACAGAGUGUAUUAUGACUGCAACAAACAUCCUACAGAUAAAAAAGAGGAAAUAUUGGCUUUACACUUCAUUGAUGGUGUUUUUCAUAUCACAAAUCCAGUGACAUCUAAAAUUUUUAUCAAUUAAAAUCUUCCUUUUCUUUUGUCACAAAGAACACACAAAUCAGUUGUCAAUUGAUCUAAUUCAAGUUUUAAUUCCUUGAACCAAGUAAAAAUAUCUCCAACU
rnacentral:lncRNA from 7 species